rnacentral:lncRNA from 1 species
GUACAUUUUAUGGAAUCUUUGGCUAAGAGUGUGUUGCUAUAAAUUAAACAUGAAUUUAUACACUAGAAUCAUGUGAUUUUGUGAAUUUUGUUUUCUUGCCGAACUUAGUUUGAUCUAUUUUUCAAAGUUAAAUGCCUUUAAACAUCUUAAGGGUGUGAUAGUUUUGUGCCUCGUAUAUCCUAACCAAUUCUUUUAUUAGAAUGUGUAUAAUGGACUUAGAGUGAUUACAACCAGCAAUAAGGUUGGGUUUAGCGGGUAGGAACUGGGUGCUAUCUCCCAGAGUAACUGGUGUGUUUACUGCUAGCUGUAAGUGCUAUGGUGUGAUGAGUGUGGUCAGGUCAUAUUGUCAGCUUUUAGUAAGAUGGACUCUGAAAUUUUACUUCUAUCCCAUCAUAAAGCACCUUUUAUUUUCGGUAGAAUCCAUUUGCUCGAUUUUAGUUUGCUGCUUUUGGUGUAUGUGUGGAAUGGUGAACUUUGUUCCAUCUCGGCAAAUGAUUUUCAUGUCCAUGAAGAAUUUCAGCUUUUUUAUUAACUAUUUAUGGUCACCGUUAUUAAUUAAUCAUGUAUUUUGCUUUUCAGGAUGAGAGCGUAAAGCAAACAGCACAACUCAUUUACCAAACUGCACUCAUGGAGAGUGGCUUCAUGCUCCAAGAUCCCAAGGAUUUUGCCUCACGUAUAUACAGCUCUGUGAAAUCUAGCCUAAACAUCAGCCCAGAUGCUAAUGUUGAAGAGGAAGAUGAUGUGGAAGAAACUGAAACAAAAGAAACUGCAGAUACCUCCAAAAAUGAUGCGGAUACAGAUACCUCGGAUGUGAAGGAUGAGUUGUAGAUUGACUGGAAUUAUGGGUCACACUUCAUCCUUUUCGAUGUCGGUCCUUUUUCUCCUCUAUCCUAGUCU